UAAUACGGAGGGUGCAAGCGUUAUCCGGAUUUACUGGGUUUAAAGGGAGCGCAGGCGGAUUGGUAAGUCAGUGGUGAAAUCCUCAAGCUUAACUUGGGAAUUGCCGUUGAUACUAUCAAUCUUGAAUGUUGUUGAGGUUUGCGGAAUGGGUCAUGUAGCGGUGAAAUGCAUAGAUAUGACCCGGAACACCUAUUGCGAAGGCAGCAGGCUAAACAAAAAUUGACGCUGAGGCUCGAAAGCGUGGGGAUCAAACAGGAUUAGAUACCCUGGUAGUCCACGCCCUAAACGAUGAUUACUCGACAUACGCGAUAUGACUGUGUGUGUCUGAGCGAAAGCAUUAAGUAAUCCACCUGGGAAGUACGACCGCAAGGUU
rnacentral:rRNA from 1 species